GGGCGAAUAGCUCAGUUGGGAGAGCACCUCCCUUACAAGGAGGGGGUCGGCAGUUCAAAUCUGCCUUCGCCCACCA
rnacentral:tRNA from 1 species